rnacentral:tRNA from 1 species
GCGAAAGUGGCGGAACUGGCAGACGCGCUGGACUUAGGAUCCAGUGCCGUAAGGCGUGGGGGUUCAACUCCCCCCUUUCGCACCA